rnacentral:rRNA from 1 species
AUUGAACGCUGGCGGCAUGCUUUACACAUGCAAGUCGAACGGUAACAGGCCUUCGGGUGCUGACGAGUGGCGGACGGGUGAGUAAUGCAUCGGAACGUGCCCAGAGGUGGGGGAUAACGCAGCGAAAGCUGUGCUAAUACCGCAUGUGAUCUGAGGAUGAAAGCGGGGGACCAGGCAGCAAUGUUUGGCCUCGCGCCUUUGGAGCGGCCGAUGUCAGAUUAGGUAGUUGGUGGGGUAAAGGCCUACCAAGCCGACGAUCUGUAGCUGGUCUGAGAGGACGACCAGCCACACUGGGACUGAGACACGGCCCAGACUCCUAGGGGAGGCAGAAGUGGGGAAUUUUGGACAAGGGGCGCAAGCCUGAUCCAGCAAUGCCGCGUGCGGGAAGAAGGCCUUCGGGUGGUAAACCGCUUUUGUACGGAACGAAAAGGCUCUGGCUAAUACCUGGAGCUGAUGACGGUACCGUAAGAAUAAGCACCGGCUAACUACGUG